AAUGUCAACCGUUUCCUCAGGUUUGUGCAGGACAGCGGGGAUGAGCCCACUACAGACUUCCUCACUAAGUCCAUGGAAACGAGGAACUUCUUCGCCUCACUGGAGGCCUGUGGCCUGCAGCCUGCAUCACUGCUAUGCAACAUCAAGAGCCUCAUCAGGUUUGUCCAGUACCUGAAGACGAGGCUGGAUCUUGUGGACCAGGAGGGAAGGAACAGGUGCCAGGCCUUCCUCGACAUGCUCGCAGCCCUGCGGAAGCCGGUGUCCAAGGUUCACACCCAGGGUCUUGUAAAGAAGAGAUACGAACGGUUUGUGGCUGGUAUACCCACAGUCUACCAGUGCCAGGAGGGUCUCUGGGUGGCCAAAGCAGACCUCCUGAAUUCAUUUGGGAAACUGCUUUGCCACACUCCCCUGUCCAGCCAGGAGAAGACGUUCUUCCGGUACUACCUGCAAGCCCUGCUGGUGCUGAAACAUUUCCAGAGCCCGGGAGUCAUGAAGGGCAUGACUGUGAAUGAGUGGGGCAUCAGACAAGGUGGAUAACAGGGUCGUUGUGGCUGUCGCGGAGCACAAGACCGCUACCUCUCAGCUGGCCUACUUGGCACUGGUGGACGAGGAGGAAGCAUGGUUUCAGGCCUACUACAAGAAGAUCAGGAGUACAGUGAUGGAGGAGGAAGACUGUCAAAGGUUUUUGUUUCCUCCCGAGGCACAGGAGUGGGCAAGUUACAAGACCCAGCCAGAUCGUCAGGAGGGCCUUGGAGAUGGAGGCUGCAACGAGCUCCUCGGCUGAGCAGCAGGAGAGCGUCACUCACUACCUGCCCCAGCACUGCCGAAUGGGCCAGCCAGAGCAGGUCGUAGCCACUGCUGCCAUCUUGGGCACGCUGGGAAGCAUCUCGCCUUCCACCUCGCCACCUCCAGCACCAACCCUACAACCUCAGCCGGGGAUACCUAUGAGGACUUUGUGACCACCUACCCCGUCACCCUGCAGAGCACAUCCCGAGCAAGAGGAAGAGGGUUGAACAGGGAUUCAGCAAUGAGUCCUUCUAUGACAAGUGGCAGUAUCAGCAGUACAACCUGCGUACAUUUCCAUAGGAAUGCAAAUUUACUCCACUGGCAGGCUGUUAGUGAACAAUGCAUGGGAUCAAAGACUCUGUGUUGCAUGAUUGACCCUGUUUAUUCUUCCUGUCUGCAGCGCACUUUGGUUAGAAACCAACGUUGGCAAAGGUGACCAACUGCCUGAGGGCUGAAGAAGCGCUCCAAAGUUGGAAGCCUCCAAUGGCUGUUACAGACGGACAACGGGCUGAAACGCCGAGUGACUGCCCAAAAAUGGAAAGGCCUCAGUGUGAGAGACUUUGGAGGUGAAAAAGAUCAAGGUGUGAUGGCAGGCUGCAACUUUGCAAAGGGAGAGAUUGUCUGUGACUACCAUGGGAAGGUGAUCACGGGAGCAGAAGGCAGAGACAAGAUGGAGAUCAUGGACCAAGCUGGGAACCUGUUCUUCUUCAAGGAUGGGCAGAGGGACCUCUGCAUUGAUGCCUAGGCAGACUGCAGUGACUGCCAUCCAGACAAGGACACGCGGGGAGAAAGAUCAAUCAUUCCUCCAAAAGACCCAACCUCAAGCCUGUCCAUGUGGUGAUGAGGACAGACACGUCAUCCUCUUUAACCCUCGCUCCCUUGUAAUUUUUAGCUCCAUCUGUCCUUGUUUGUCCAGAAAACAGACAUGCUUCAACUUUCACUGCUUCAGAUCUCUUCAACAACUCCAA